AUUGAACGCUGGCGGCAGGCCUAACACAUGCAAGUCGAACGGUAACAGGAAGCAGCUUGCUGCUUUGCUGACGAGUGGCGGACGGGUGAGUAAUGUCUGGGAAACUGCCUGAUGGAGGGGGAUAACUACUGGAAACGGUAGCUAAUACCGCAUAACGUCGCAAGACCAAAGAGGGGGACCUUCGGGCCUCUUGCCAUCGGAUGUGCCCAGAUGGGAUUAGCUAGUAGGUGGGGUAACGGCUCACCUAGGCGACGAUCCCUAGCUGGUCUGAGAGGAUGACCAGCUACACUGGAACUGAGACACGGUCCAGACUCCUACGGGAGGCAGCAGUGGGGAAUAUUGCACAAUGGGCGCAAGCCUGAUGCAGCCAUGCCGCGUGUAUGAAGAAGGCCUUCGGGUUGUAAAGUACUUUCAGCGGGGAGGAAGGCGAUAAGGUUAAUAACCUUGUCGAUUGACGUUACCCGCAGAAGAAGCACCGGCUAACUCCGUGCCAGCAGCCGCGGUAAUACGGAGGGUGCAAGCGUUAAUCGGAAUUACUGGGCGUAAAGCGCACGCAGGCGGUCUGUCAAGUCGGAUGUGAAAUCCCCGGGCUCAACCUGGGAACUGCAUUCGAAACUGGCAGGCUAGAGUCUUGUAGAGGGGGGUAGAAUUCCAGGUGUAGCGGUGAAAUGCGUAGAGAUCUGGAGGAAUACCGGUGGCGAAGGCGGCCCCCUGGACAAAGACUGACGCUCAGGUGCGAAAGCGUGGGGAGCAAACA
rnacentral:rRNA from 1 species